AGCUUCAUUAGCGUAUAUUAAAGUUGUUGCAGUUAAAAAGCUCGUAGUCGCAUUUCUGGCGAGAGGAUCCGGUCCGACCUUUUGGUGGGUUCUUGGGUCUCUUUCGCCAUCCUUGAGUGGUCCGUUCUGGCAUUAGGUUGUCGGAGCGUCAGCCGCUCAUCGUUUACUGUGAGAAAAUUAGAGUGUUCAAAGCAGGCUUAUGCCGUUGAAUAUAUUAGCAUGGAAUAAUAAGAUAGGACCUCGGUACUAUUUUGUUGGUUUGAGCACCAAGGUAAUGAUGAACAGGGACAGUUGGGGGUAUUUGUAUUUCGUUGUCAGAGGUGAAAUUCUUAGAUUUACGAAAGACAAACUACUGCGAAAGCAUUUACCAAGGAUGUUUUCA
rnacentral:rRNA from 1 species